rnacentral:rRNA from 1 species
UACGAAGGGGGCUAGCGUUGUUCGGAAUUACUGGGCGUAAAGCGCGCGCAGGCGGUCUUCCAAGUCAGUGGUGAAAGCCCGGAGCUCAACUCCGGAACUGCCAUUGAAACUGUAAGACUUGAGGACGAGAGAGGUGAGUGGAAUUCCCAGUGUAGAGGUGAAAUUCGUAGAUAUUAGGAAGAACACCAGUGGCGAAGGCGGCUCACUGGCCCGGUACUGACGCUGAGGCGCGAAAGCGUGGGGAGCAAACAGG